AUUAGUUCAUAAGUAUAUUUCAAAAUAAAUAUAAUUAUUUAAUUAAAUAUGUUCAUAUGAAAUAGGCUUUUAAACAGGCUAACAGGCCACAUCAGACUUUCAAAAGGCCAGGCUCAGGCCUAGAAUUUAAGCCUAUGAUAGGCCACAGGUCAGGCUCAGACUUUCGAUUUUUUGACAGGCCAGGCUCAGGCUUGGCAAAGCCUAGCUCGGCCUAGCCUAUUCCCACCUCUAC
rnacentral:lncRNA from 1 species